UGCCCCGGCGAGGCGGGGCCGGGCGGGAGCGGCCCGAGCGCGGCUCCGCUCGGCUCCUGUGCGGCUGCCGCGGAGCCGGGGCCCGCAGCGAUGGCGGCCGCGCUGGGGCCGUGGCUGCUGCCCUUGGCCUUGGCCUUGUGGCCGCCAGGGCUCUGGGCACAGCCGAGGCUGCAGGAGGCCGGCGGAGGGCUGCGAGCGCCCGGGGACUCCGUCAUCCUCUCCUGCCGCGGGUCCGGCUUCAUCUUUAGGAAUUAUGUAAUUUGGUGGUACCGUCAAGUACCCGGAGGCAGCCUGGAGUGGGUGUCCGUUAUUAGUUACGAUCCGACAAUUUUUUCUUUUGACGAGUCAGUGCAGAUGCGGGCCAAGAUUUCCCGGGACAAUUCCCAGUCCACCGUUUAUCUGUCCCUGCUGACCCUGCAGCCCCGCGACUCUGCCCGCUACUUCUGCUCUAUUCACACGGGGACAGGAAACCCAGCUGAGCUUUAACAACAACCAGCUCGGGUCUGCCUCAGCACCCAGGAAAUUUGGAGAUGGUGGAUUCCAAAGUGGUUCAGGGCUGUUCCUAAGAAAUCGGGGGCCAUCCCCACGCACCACAAGUGAUCCUGGCCUUUCCUCAAGAGCUCCUUUCCCAACACUGAGGCUUCCUUCUCCUGAGUCCUAGUUGCAAUGUUCCAUUCUGUAGAGGAAGUUGAAGGUUUUUCUGUCAUCCAAUCAGCCUGGUGACUGCCUGGCUCCAGUCCCACUCUGCCCUCCUUGGUCCCCUUCUUAAGUGGAACAUGCAAAGCACCUGGGCUUUGGCAACACCUUUGCCAGCUUCCUUUGACCCUUUGGGGGCCAUCUCCUUGCACCAGUGAGAGCAAAACUGUGAUGUAAUGGUUCUGAUUUUCCUUCAGGUGCAUUUUGAGGUGAUGAGAUCCAAGCAACAAGCUCUGCAGUGUGAUGGCCAGCAGGGAACACUGGGACUCUCCACUGCACUUACAGCUCCAAAGGCUCCUGUAUUUCCAUGGCCUGGUACCGGCAGUGUCCUGGUGAACCCCUGCAGUACCUGCAGCAGUGCCAGGGCUCUGGAGGCUCCUGCAGACACACAGCCCCUUUUGCCCACAGGAGGUUUUCGUGCCGGGCUGACGAGAGCUCUGGGGCACUGACCAUCAGCAGGCUGCAGCUGGGGGACAGUGCACUCUAUUCCUGCAGCCUGGAGGUAGCACAGCGAGAGACACUUGGGGUGUGCCUGAGCUACAUCAGCUGUGUCCCCUCCUGCAAGUUCACGUGGGUCCCAGCCCAUGCAAGGGAAGAGGCAGUGAGUGGGCUGUGCCUGAGGUCAGGGAAACGGGGUCUCCUUGGUCCUGGGGGCUUGCAGAGGAGAGUAGGGAGAGGGGAGAAACAAGACUCUUUCAAUUGAAAGGAAGCUACAACAACCACCUAGUCCAACUGCCUGAGCAUUCCAGGCCUCAAACAAAUAUAAAGCUUCUUGUUGUAAU